rnacentral:rRNA from 1 species
AGGGUUUGAUCAUGGCUCAGGACGAACGCUGGCGGCGUGCCUAAUACAUGCAAGUCGAGCGAGUGAAACUAACUGAUCCCUUCGGGGUGACGUUAGUGGAUCUAGCGGCGGACGGGUGAGUAACACGUGGGCAACCUGCCUGUAAGACUGGGAUAACUCGCGGAAACGUGAGCUAGUACCGGAUAAUACUUUGAACUUCAUGGUUCGAAGAUGAAAGGCGGCUUCGGCUGUCACUUACAGAUGGGCCCGCGGCGCAUUAGCUAGUUGGUGAGGUAACGGCUCACCAAGGCGACGAUGCGUAGCCGACCUGAGAGGGUGAUCGGCCACACUGGGACUGAGACACGGCCCAGACUCCUACGGGAGGCAGCAGUAGGGAAUCUUCCGCAAUGGACGAAAGUCUGACGGAGCAACGCCGCGUGAGUGAUGAAGGUUUUCGGAUUGUAAAACUCUGUUGUUAGGGAAGAACAAGUCGGGUAGUAACUGACCCGACCUUGACGGUACCUAACCAGAAAGCCCCGGCUAACUACGUGCCAGCAGCCGCGGUAAUACGUAGGGGGCAAGCGUUGUCCGGAAUUAUUGGGCGUAAAGCGCGCGCAGGCGGUCCUUUAAGUCUGAUGUGAAAGCCCACGGCUUAACCGUGG